rnacentral:rRNA from 1 species
GAUGAACGCUGGCGGCGUGCCUAAUACAUGCAAGUCGAGCGAACGGACGAGAAGCUUGCUUUUCUGAUGUUAGCGGCGGACGGGUGAGUAACACGUGGAUAACCUACCUAUAAGACUGGGAUAACUUCGGGAAACCGGAGCUAAUACCGGAUAAUAUUUUGAACCGCAUGGUUCAAAAGUGAAAGACGGUCUUGCUUUCACUUAUAGAUGGAUCCGCGCUGCAUUAGCUAGUUGGUAAGGUAACGGCUUACCAAGGCAACGAUGCAUAGCCGACCUGAGAGGGUGAUCGGCCACACUGGAAAUGAGACACGGUCCAGACUCCGACGGGAGGCAGCAGUAGGGAAUCUUCCGCAAUGGGCGAAAGCCUGACGGAGCAACGCCGCGUGAGUGAUGAAGGUCUUCGGAUCGUAAAACUCUGUUAUUAGGGAAGAACAUAUGUGUAAGUAACUGUGCACAUCUUGACGGUACCUAAUCAGAAAGCCACGGCUAACUACGUG